CCCCCAAAAUAACCCUGCGAACCAAAAUUAGGGUUCAAGUGCAACAUGUUCAACGAAGAAUUAGAGUUCCAAUUUUGAUUUCCAGAAUCAUAUUCAGCACAAUUAGCUUGAAAUCGGCCUCCUCCUCGUGCACCACCACGAAAUCCACCACGAAAAUUAUGACCACCUGUACGACCUCGAAAACCUCCGCGAAAUCCUCCAUUGUUCCGAUUUUGUGAAGAAUUUGCAUAGCGAAAAUAGCAAUUAGAUGUUGGAUGUCCAAACUUUGAACAGAUCUGGCACUGUGUUUGUUUAGAUCCAGAUUCAGAACCAGAUCCAGAAUCAGAUUGAUGAGGAGGAUUCGUCACAUUAGAAUUCAUGGCAGUAAGAGGAACAGUAUGAAUGCUUUGCCGUUGUUUCAUUCUUGCUUCAUAUAAGAAAUUGAGUCAUGUACCAGGAUUGUUUAACAUAGACUUGUUGAAAAAAUGACUCAUCAAUGGAUUUCCAGAGAGCAGAUGCUGAUGAAGCAUUCCGAGCAAUGUGCAUAAGCGAUGGUGAAAGAGUAGCUGUGAUUAAAGCCAUUACAUAUCCAUCUGAUCUCAUCCACUGCUCAUAAGUUGCAGAACUCACAGCAGGAACAGCUGUAUUCAGACAGGAAAUUGGUGAUAUUAGGUAGAGUAUUCGAGUUUGAUGAAUUGCUGAUAGACGAAGAGGAAUCAGAUGUAGUAUCAGCCAUGAAAUCUAUUGAAAGAAUAGAGAGACUGAAGAUUAGAGAAGAAGAAAUGAAGAUUGAAAAGGAAAGAGUGAUGAUCGGAUAAGAAGAAGAGUAGCCGGAAUCUUCGCCGGAAAAGUUUGUUAUACUGCCGGAACCCUAGGUAUCAAAGCUCUGAUACCAUAAAGGCUUGAGCAAGUAAGUGAAGUGUGAUAUUAUUUUCUGUUAACAUACAAAUGAGAGGUUACAAAGUAUAUAUAGACACUCAACAAACUCCAACUAACUCUAGUGCCACAUCAUCAUAACGCCACAUCAUCUAACUAACUCAACUAACUCAAACUAACUCAACUAUAUACA